ACACUGACGUCGGCGACGCAUAUCAAUAAGCGGAGGAAAAGAAACUAACAAGGAUUCCCUUAGUAACGGCGAGUGAAGCGGGAAGAGCUCAAAUUUGAAAUCUUCAAGGUUCUACCUUGACGAAUUGUAGUUUAAAGAAGUGUUUUCUGUUAGAUGAGUAGCAAAAGUUCCUUGGAAUGGGACAUCAUAGAGGGUGAGAAUCCCGUAUUUGGUUAUUCAUUCUAGCUUUGUGAUACACUUUCAAAGAGUCGGAUUGUUUGGGAAUGCAGUCCAAAAUGGGUGGUAAAUUUCAUCUAAAGCUAAAUAUUGGCGAGAGACCGAUAGCGAACAAGUACCUGUGAGGGAAAGAUGAAAAGAACUUUGAAAAGAGAGUUAAACAGUACGUGAAAUUGUCAAAAGGGAAGCGUUUGACACCAGUGUUGUUUUUCCGAAAAUCAAUUACUAAAUGGCUUGAUUUUGUGUUGUAUUGACCUUAUCAGCUUUCUGCACUUUUUUCGAGUCUUUCUUAAUGCACUUUUCGGUUAACAAGUCAACAUCAAUUUCUUUUGUUGUAAAAGAGUAUUCGGAAGGUGGCUUUCUUUUCGGAGAAAGUGUUUAUAGCCCUAUACUUCUACAAUCGGAGAGAUUGAGGUCUGCAGCGUAGAUCCUUCGGGGUUAGAUACAUUUGUGCUAAGUUGUAGCUUUUCAUAGACAACUUGUUGACUAUGUUUAGUCAUGCGGCUUACUCGCUUAUGCUAUUUUACCUACGCUUAGGAUGUUGAGUCGUAGAGCACGCAG
rnacentral:rRNA from 1 species